GGGUCAGUAGGUUGGUCGUGCCACCGGUACGUACUGGUCUCACUGAUUCCUCCUUCCUGAAGAACCGUAAUGCCAUUAAUUUGGUGUUUCGGGGAAACAGGACUGUUACUUUGAAAUAAUUAGAGUGUUUAAAGCAAGCCAACGCUUGAAUACAUUAGCAUGGAAUAAUGAAAUAGGACGAUCGAUCCUAUUUUGUUGGUUUCUAGGAUUGACGUAAUGAUUAACAGGGAUAGUGG
rnacentral:rRNA from 1 species